UUAAUUCAAUUUUUAAUAGAUUGUACUGUCUUUCGUAAAAGACCUGUCCUUUUAUGAAAAUUUUUGCUGGCCACGUGUCACGUGUCUCGUCAGACAUGUUCAAUUAAUUAAAAUUGAAGUUGGGCCGAGCUUAAAUGGGCCUAUGAGAUAGGCCCGAUAUGUUAGCUCAAUAAAGUUUAGUGAACAUUUGAAGGUGGGCCCGGCCCAACUAAGAAUAAUUUUGUAAUUGAUAAUUGAAACAUCUCAGUGCUUUAUGCCCAAACUUCCGAACCCUAACACCCUGAUUUGCGUGGAUUUACAGUUGGGGGAGAUUGAGCUAGUGGUUAAUGGCGAUACGGUAAAUCGGGAGGGGACUGCAGUCUGCAACAGCAGGAAGAAGCGUAAAUGCUAUAGAUGUGUUUUGUGGAUUUAUUUAUGUGCGUGUAGAUGUGUUUGUAUAUAUAUAUAUGUAUAUGUAUAGGAGCAAUAUCAUCUCUUACUGUAUGAAUUGAGCAAUUUUAUUGGCUGUUGACUGAUUUUUGGUCAUCCGUGUUGAUGUGUUUGUAUGUAUAUGUAGAUAUAUACAUGUAGUAUCGAAGCAAUCAUCAUCUCCUACAAUUUGAAUUGAGUAAUUUCUUGUUGAUUGAUGCGUAUAGAUGUGUUUGUAUGUAUAGAAGUUGUAUUUGUGUAUAUGAAUGAGAAUCCAUUAUCAUCUAUUACUGUAUGAAUUGAGUGAUUUCGUUUCUUGUUGACUGAUUUCUGUCGUCUUCUGCUCCAUUUUAAUUCUAUCUGUUGUUUCUCAUCGUGCAUAGAGAGAAUCUAUCAGUGCUUCGCCAAAUGUGGGAUGGAGGACCACUCUAUCUUCCUACUCACUGCAAUGUAGCUUUUGUAGAGUAGUCCUUCGUGUUUUUCAUUUUAAUGAUUUGUGAUAUGUGUAGUUUUAUUUAUUUAUUUAUUUUUGAUCAUGUGUAGUAGUUGGUCAUUCUGUGUAGGCAUACAUAAAUACAUACUCAUGUUCCCAAUGUGCUUCUUUAACAGAUUUGAAAAGGGCUCAGAGAUUGAUUGACAAUGACCACUCUUUCCACAAACUUGCUCAGUGUUUUUUGAUAAUUUCUGGUUUUUUUUAUUCUGCUAUUUGUUGCUUAGUUUGUACUAUGACUUGGGGAGCAUCACUUCAUCAAGUCAUUUCUUGUCUGUCCAUUGAUGGUUUUUUCAUCAGGAACAGAAAUAUAGUGUGUGGAAGGAUGAAGGCAAUAAAUAGACUUGUUGAACCUUAUCAGAUUGAUUGAGUCAUAUGUAUAGUCAAUUAAAUAAUUAUCUGACAGAGUUUCAUCAAAUUAGUCUACACCAUGAACAACAAAAUCUUGAUUCUCAAAUGAGAGGAAAGAAAGAAAGGUAACUAGCAAGUAACAGCACAAUAAAGCUUAAACCCAAUAAUUAACAAAGUCCCUUAAUCAAAUUUCUUCUCCACACAAGAACUGUAAUUGCAAUUUUUGUUUAUAACUUAAAAAUCCAGUCUUACCUUGUCUUGUCUAUUUCUCUGUGAUGUUUAGUAGUAGGUGAAGCACUGAGCACUCUAAACAUAUAGAGAGACAGGCCUAGCUGUUAGCAUCAAUUAAUUAUUACCUACUUAGCUGUUAAAAAUUUGGCUUUUAGCAGUAGUGUAUUUCCUUUCAUAUGUUUCUUUCAUUCACUGAUGUAGCAGAGAUGGGAUAAUCAAACCCUUCAUUAAUUCAUUCAUUAUUGAUGUCUCCUCUCAACACUACCCUUAACUUUUUUUGUAUUGUAGAGUUGGUCAAGUAUGAUUCCUUAAUGUCUUCGUGCAUGCUUCGUCUCUACUACAUCAUAAGUAAUCCUCAAUGGGGAAUAAGUGAAGGUGCCAGGAUGAUCUAUUUUGGGAUUUUUUAUAUUAUUUUUUUUCAGAGUUUGAUUUUCAAGAAUUGAUUCAAAAUAGAUCAUCUUGUUGCAGCCUCACUUCUUCCUCUUUUGAGGACACAAAGUAGCACACAUAGUUCAUUCUAGGCAUGAUUCUUUUUUUCUUCUCUUGUGAAGUUUAUUAGAUAAAUGUAUGCGUUGAAGUUUAGAGUCAAUAUACUCAGUAAGGCCUAGGCAAACUCCCAAAAAGCCAAACAAUAAAUUGUUAUUUUCAUAUUACAUGGGUGAUUUGGUGGGGGUGUGUGAAUAGGGUAUAUCUGAUCUGAGGAUUAUUUUACAUAUCAAUAUAUAGUAAUGCCAUCAAUUAUAUAUCAUGACAGGAUAUAUGCAUCACACUUUAAAAUCUUGUUGGCAAAGAACAAUCCAAGUGCCAAGAGAAUCUUUUGGGCAAAGAGAGAAGAUACUCUUCAAUGGAAACUGCCAAAACACACACAGAGAGAGAAGAUGCAUGCUUCAAUGGACAAUGCUCAUCGGUCAUUGAAUAUAUAAUCAGAAAUCAAAAUCAAGCAAGCAGGUCAAACAUGGGACAUCUAUCUGUUCUGUGCUACACUACACAAGAGACAGAGAGAGAGAGAAAGAGACAAGAUUCAGUCCCAGACCAGACCAGACAGCUGCUGCAUGUUUGUCUUCAUUCUUUUUUAGAGGUACCUCUACUCCACUCAACUCAACUGUCUUUCAUCAACCUUAGAAUAGCUUUGUUUCUUUUGGGAAUAAAAUACUCCCUCCGUUUCUUUUAUAUAAGUAUCAUUUGCUUUUUUAUGCAUAGU